rnacentral:rRNA from 1 species
GAAUCGCUAGUAAUCGCGGAUCAGCACGCCGCGGUGAAUACGUUCCCGGGCCUUGUACACACCGCCCGUCACACCAUGAGAGUCUGUAACACCCAAAGCCGGUGGGAUAACCUUUAUAGGAGUCAGCCGUCUAAGGUAGGACAGAUGAUUAGGGUGAAGUCGUAACAAGGUAUC